ACCGCCAGCCAGCAGCAGAGCAGAGCAGCCCCAGCCCAGCACCCCCACAGGCCACAGCACAUCGAUCGCCAUGCCCGCCACCUUCCCGCCGCCGCCGCCGCCGCCGCCUCCCUCUCACAACCUUCCUCCGCUGCUGUCUUCCAACGAGUCCUUCUCCAAGUUCUUCGAGUCCUGGAUCGGCGAGCAGUCCCGCGACCUGGAGGAGCUCCGCGCCGCGGCGUCCGCGGAGCCGGCCGCCCCCGAGGCCGACCUCCGCCGCCUCGUCGACCAGGUGAUGGGCCACUACGCGCAGUACUACAGCACCAAGGCCGCGGCCGCGGCCGGCGACGUGAGCAUGAUGUUCACCCCGUCCUGGACCUCCACCACCGAGAACCUCUACCUCUGGUGCGGCGGGUGGCGCCCCACCGCCGCGAUCCAGCUGCUGUACACCAAGUGCGGGAUGCAGCUCGAGCACCGGCUCCCCGUCUUCCUCGACGGCGGCGGCCUCAAUAAGGACGACCUCAGCGACCUCAGCGUCGCGCAGCUCCGGGCCGCCGACCAGCUGCAGCACCGCACCAUCAGCAGGGAGCGCGAGAUCGAGGAGGUCGCCGCGACCGCACAGGUGAGUGAGUAAAAAUAAAAAAAAUCAGCGGCACUUUUUUUCUUCCAGAAAUGAAAUAUCCAGUGAGGUCAACGAGGGCCGCAUGUGCAGGAGGCGCUGACGUCGAAGACGAUGGUGGAGCUCGCGGGCGGCGGCGGCGGCGGCGGCGGCGGGAUGGACGCGGGGGCGAUGGACCGGGAGAUGCAGACGAAGGCGGAGGGGAUGAGGCAGGUGCUGGAGAUGGCGGACGGGCUGCGGCUCGAGACGAUGCGCGAGGUGGUGGCGCUGCUCCGCCCCGCGCAGGCCGUGCACUUCCUCCUCGCCGCCGCCGAGCUCCACCUCGCCGUGCAUGACUUCGGGCGCCGCAAGGACGGGCACGCCGGCAACGCCGCCGCCGCCGCCGCCGCGCCGCCGGAGUGACGCUGACGCGCCUGGCUGCUCUGCUUUGCGUGUAUCGUGUAAUGGCUCCCCUGUUCCAAGCGGCGC
rnacentral:lncRNA from 1 species